CAGCAGCCGCGGGAACACGUAGGGUGCAAGCGUUAAUCAGAAUUACUGGGCGUAAAGCGUGCGCAGGCGGUUUGUUAAGACGGAUGUGAAAUCCCCGGGCUCAACCUGGGAACUGCAUUCGUGACUGGCAAGCUAGAGUAUGGCAGAGGGGGAUGGAAUUCCGCGUGUAGCAGUGAAAUGCGUAGAUAUGCGGAGGAACACCGAUGGCGAAGGCAGCCCCCUGUGCCAAUACUGACGCUCAUGCACGAAAGCGUGGGGAGCAAACAGGAUUAGAUACCCCAGUAGUCCCUGUCUCUUAUAC
rnacentral:rRNA from 1 species